rnacentral:sRNA from 1 species
CCCCCUGACCAGUGAGGAUGCCCCCUCCCAUCUAGGGUACUCUGUGUCUAGGGAUGAAUUCCAGUGUCAUUUUCCUCUCUUCUGUAGGUUUAUUUAUGGAAGAUUGGACCUGUUCAUACAUCUGUGGGGCAGCCCUCCAUCUCCCAGCUAUAUAAAGUCUCUAACCACAGUGUUGCAUUGUGGGGUUACCAUGUGGUCUGACACUUCCUUGCAUGAACUACCCUCACUCCAGCCCUGGACAGUCCAGGGCCUAGCAGGCAGUGUGUGGGGCCUACCAGGUCCUGGCAUCCAAGCUGUGUCCAAUAAAGUUCUUAGAUGUGACUGGAAAAAAAAUUGGAUUAAAAAAAAACUUCAGAAGUUACAGAGCCAACUACAGAGAAGCAUAAUAAAUGAAAGAGUGUC